UAACGUUACCACUUCUCGCCCUUUUUUAAAAUGAGCACAUGCCUACAAACAUUAAAUAAAUCUGAUCUCUUUCUUCCUCUCGCGUUUCCAACCGUUUGAUCCUCUCUCUCUUGUUCGUUUUGCUUAUUAUUUACAAGAAAUUAACCACAUUGUUUUCUGAAUCGACGUUUUCAAGAGGGUGCAUAUAUUAUCUGUUGUACCUGACUGUGAUUUGGUUCCAUAUUGGUGCUCUGCUGAAGUAAUUCAUGUUGCUGAAGAAUUUGAUGGAAGACAAGCAACUGGAUUUUAAUCAACCAUUUUUAUCUGUGAGGCGGUUCUCAUCAACAGUGACCACCUCAGAAGCUGAGGUUAAAAGGAAAACAGUCAAUACUGUUCCCAAAAUACCUGCUCUCCCUGUUUACAAGUCAGAGUUGAAAUCAGGUCCGAUUGGGAACCCACAAACUAUUCCUUUCGUGUGAGAGCAAAUGCCAGAAAGGCCCAAGAAUGAUAGCAAAUCACAAACUCAAGCUCCUGAGCAACCUCCCAUUGUUCCAAAGCUUCCACCUGGAAGGAAAUCAUAUAGUUGUUCUUUGUUUGGUACACUUAAUUGUACAAGAUUUCAGGGUUCCAAGUCUCCCUCAGUUGAUCCCAAGUGGAAAACUAUUGUCAAAACCUCGAAUGGACACCAUGGACAUUUACGUUUCUCAGAGGAACUACGUACACCUAUUCUAGAAGCAUAAAACAAUAGAAACCUUAAGCCUAUGGAAUCAUGUAUACAGUUGGUUGUGAAGUCCAUAAUUUAAAUGGCUUCAAGGCUUCUCAAAACACUUUCUCAUCUCCUCGAAAAAUUUUCUCCUCAAAGUCCGAGAUGCUUCUUCCUAUACUUAGUAUACAGCGGGUAAUUGUAAAUCUCUCUGCCCAUUUAUAUUCCUGUAAUAAGAAGUUGCAUUUAGUCCAAGAGUUAAAAUUAUGCCUACAAACAAACUGUAUAGACUCUGUACAAACUGAGUUUCUAGCUUGUGAUUGUUCACUUUUAAUUCAUGCUUCCUGGUGACAUUGUUACCUACUUGUCAUAUGUUGACACCAUGACAGGAAGCAAAAUGUUCAUGAUGUGAGUUAUCACCUCCAUGCAAAUAAGCAUUUUGGAUAUUUUAUUGGGAA